rnacentral:tRNA from 1 species
GCUGUUUUAGUUUAAUUUUUUAAAAUUUCUAAUUUGUAAUUAGGGGAUUAAUUUCAGUU